UACGUAGGGUGCGAGCGUUGUCCGGAAUUAUUGGGCGUAAAGAGCUCGUAGGCGGUCUGUCGCGUCGGCCGUGAAAACCUGCAGCUUAACUGUGGGCUUGCGGUCGAUACGGGCAUCACUGGAGUUCGGCAGGGGAGACUGGAAUUCCUGGUGUAGCGGUGAAAUGCGCAGAUAUCAGGAGGAACACCGGUGGCGAAGGCGGGUCUCU
rnacentral:rRNA from 1 species